rnacentral:rRNA from 1 species
UACGGAGGAUGCAAGCGUUAUCCGGAAUUAUUGGGCGUAAAGCGUCCGCAGGUGGUUAUACAAGUCUGCUGUCAAAGCGCAAGGCUCAACCUUGUAAAGGCAGUGGAAACUGUGUGACUAGAGAGUGAUAGGGGCAGAGGGAAUUCCCAGUGUAGCGGUGAAAUGCGCAGAUAUCAGGAGGAACACCAAUGGCGAAGGCAGCUCGCUGGGACGGUACUGACGCUGAGACGCGAAAGCGUGGGGAGCAAACAGG